GCCACGACAGGGCCUUACUGCUUGAAUUUGAGGGCUCCGUGCUGCAGAAAGCUUUUUUGGUUUCCUUUUGCCUACUGGAACCACAGGCCUUCAGUUUGUGUAACAUGUCACAAGACAACUUCUGACUUCCUCUUCGUACGUAUUUGCGUGUUCUUUGCUUUUGCUUAAAAGCACCAGAUGAAAAACUUGCUCUUUCCUAUAGGGCUCUACCAGUUCUUGCAGAGCCUGCACUUUGGAUGCUGUGUCUGAACAGAGACUGAGCCAGGCUGUAGCACUACCUUCCAUGCAGCUAUGGCUGCCUCGGGAGAGGCCUGGCUUCGCAGCAGUGGUGGAAGAGAAGGCUAGCAAGCUACAGCAGCAAGAAAUGCAGUAAGAGUUAUGAGUUAAUAAUGGUAAUAAAAAGGAGGAAUGAGAAAGAAGGGAAAUAAGAAGACCUAUCAUCUUGCUGGUUUCCAGCCCUCUUUGGUGGUAACUCCUGUGUUUUAAGGUUUUUAACUUAGGAAAAUGAGGAUAAGAGCAUGUGCUGACUUUUUGAAUUCAAUCAAGAUGGAUUCACUUUGUGUGUGAUGGGAAGUGUGUGCUGCAAGGGGAAAAAACAUGCAAAGAGUUGCAGAGAAUACCUCAGCCAUAGUCAAUACUGUGAAUAAAAUGUUGAAUGAAUUACCACCUCCUGAGAGACUGAUCAGUGGAACGUGAGACCCCAACAGCUGAGAUCCUUGGUAAAACGUCCAUAGGGAUCAGCCUGUAGGAAUCUUCAGGAUAACGAUGAUCAGAGUGGCCACAGGGAUUGUUUGGGAGCUACAUGUUGAUACAUGGAUAUGCCCUCCCAAAAGGCCAAGAGAAGACAAGGAAAGGGCAGGAGUGAGAAUGUUGUUAAAAGGAGAAACAAAAUGAGGUUUUAAAGUGGAGCCUAUUUAAGCUAUUUGUAACAAGCUUUGCAAGUAUGGUUUCCAUGUCAGAACAAGAAAAUACAGCUGAUGUUUAUGGUUAAAUUUCUUCAGCCUGCAGUCAUCAUGAAAAGAUCCAAUAAGAAAGAAGAAUCUAAGGGUUCCUGUGAGUUAGGUUUCUGGACUGAGAGAUGUUGUUGUUCUCACUGCUGAAAUUUUAGUUCCCUGUUACCAGAACAUUGCUCAAGUUUCGAGGCAGUGACGGUGGAAAAAUCAUGUCCCUCCAG
ensembl:lncRNA